rnacentral:lncRNA from 1 species
GUGUGUGUUUUAUCUUACAUAUCUGUGUGUUAGGACGUUGGUAUUUUUGUCUUUUUCUUCCUUGGCAGAGCCUCGCUGUCAGAGGUUCACCUGAGGUGGUACUGGUCGUGGGUGCUGUAGAGUUAACAGGUCAGCGACUCUCCGCCAACUGCGAGUGAUUGUCCUGAGCAUAUUCCAACAAAGUGUGCUCCCAGCAGUUCCAGGACUCCCUCCUCCUUCCUCUGCCAGGGCUCAUUAACGAUGGUUCAGGGUGUGCAUCCACACAGAUGGGGAAUGUGAAAUGUCUUCCUGAUCCUUAUUGGGACCCACUCAAUGAACAUCACACACAUCCCCCAUCACGCCAGUGAAGAGAAGCAGCAGCCUGGACCUCCCUUCCAUGCCUUGAGAAACAGGAGUAGAUAAGAGUGAAUCCAUGCCUGGCCUUCAGCAGCACCAAACCACUACUAUGGACCCUUUCUUCCUGAGGGCUACAUUCUCCUCAGUUGUCCUAUGGCCAAGGUGGCAGGACUAGGCUGGUAGCCAUCAGGAAAGAAGCCAGGUUCAGACAGGAUGAGGUUCAGAGGGUCACGGCUCCAUUUGAAUUGCUGAAACCCUGCAUAAGCUAAUUCAGCCUGCUGAGCAUCUACCAGACUUGGUUCUGUACAGAGACUGAAAGAAAAGACAGAUCAGUGAAAAGACAACAUAAAUCCCAUUUGUCUCUAUUUAAGGGUCAAGCUUGAUUUCAAAAUGGUGGCCAUAGGCAACAGCUCCAGGAACA